UACAGAGGGUGCGAGCGUUAAUCGGAGUUACUGGGCGUAAAGGGCGCGUAGGCGGUUAUUUAAGUUAGAUGUGAAAUCCCUGGGCUUAACCUAGGAACUGCAUCUAAUACUGGAUAGCUGGAGUAUUGUAGAGGGUAGUGGAAUUUCCGGUGUAGCGGUGAAAUGCGUAGAGAUCGGAAGGAACACCAGUGGCGAAGGCGGCUACCUGGACAAAUACUGACGCUGAGGCGCGAGAGCGUGGGGAGCAAACAGG
rnacentral:rRNA from 1 species